GUGCCAGCAGCCGCGGUAAUACGAAGGGGGCUAGCGUUGCUCGGAAUGACUGGGCGUAAAGGGCGCGUAGGCGGUGUACACAGUCAGGCGUGAAAUUCCCGGGCUCAACCUGGGGGCUGCGCUUGAUACAUGUAUGCUUGAGUUCGGAAGAGGGUCGUGGAAUUCCCAGUGUAGAGGUGAAAUUCGUAGAUAUUGGGAAGAACACCGGUGGCGAAGGCGGCGACCUGGUCCGAUACUGACGCUGAGGCGCGAAAGCGUGGGGAGCAAACAGGAUUAGAUACCCCCGUAGUCC
rnacentral:rRNA from 1 species